rnacentral:rRNA from 1 species
AGUAGGGCGGGACACGUGUUAUCCUGUCUGAAUAUGGGGGGACCAUCCUCCAAGGCUAAAUACUCCUGACUGACCGAUAGUGAACCAGUACCGUGAGGGAAAGGCGAAAAGAACCCCUGUGAGGGGAGUGAAAUAGAACCUGAAACCGUGUACGUACAAGCAGUAGGAGCACCUUCGUGGUGUGACUGCGUACCUUUUGUAUAAUGGGUCAGCGACUUAUAUUCAGUGGCAAGGUUAACCAUCUAGGGGAGCCGUAGGGAAACCGAGUCUUAACUGGGCGCCAUAGUCUCUGGAUAUAGACCCGAAACCGAGUGAUCUAGCCAUGGGCAGGUUGAAGGUUGAGUAACAUCAACUGGAGGACCGAACCGACUAAUGUUGAAAAAUUAGCGGAUGACUUGUGGCUAGGGGUGAAAGGCCAAUCAAACUCGGAGAUAGCUGGUUCUCCCCGAAAGCUAUUUAGGUAGCGCCUCGGACGAAUACUACUGGGGGUAGAGCACUGUUAAGGCUAGGGGGUCAUCCCGACUUACCAACCCUUUGCAAACUCCGAAUACCAGUAAGUACUAUCCGGGAGACACACGGCGGGUGCUAACGUCCGUCGUGGAGAGGGAAACAACCCAGACCGCCAGCUAAGGUCCCAAAUUACAGCUAAGUGGGAAACGAUGUGGGAAGGCUUAGACAGCUAGGAUGUUGGCUUAGAAGCAGCCAUCAUUUAAAGAAAGCGUAAUAGCUCACUAGUCGAGUCGGCCUGCGCGGAAGAUGUAACGGGGCUAAGUUGUAAACCGAAGCUGCGGCAAUGUUCUAUGAACAUUGGGUAGGGGAGCGUU